CUCCGUACUUUUAAUUAUUGUAUUUUUCAUUUUCUUCUACGGCCCAAACAGUUUUCGUCAGGAAUUUCCUUUUCUUAAAUUUGUGAUUUUAUAUUUAAGCCGCCAAAAAGUGUAGGUUCUGUUACCCGCAUUUCUAAAAUCAGUUCAGUUAAUUGAGGAACUAUUGCACCGUACCACAGGGCCAGUUGUUCCUUCGCGCGUCGUUUCAGCCUUGCCUAUCGAAAGCCCUACUUGUAAGUCAACGGCCCAAAUGUUUUACAUGGAACUAAAAUGAAAAUAAAACCCCAAGUGAGUGCGAAUUUUCAUCGUAAAAUUAAGUGUGUGUUUGGAUUGUGGUUUUUAAUCGCUGCGUCUCACUCGAAUAUCGGCCGGGAAUGAUGUGAAGUUGCCCUCAUUAUGUGAAAUCCAACUCCGAAUUUCCAAAUUUUACGGUCAAAACAAACAUAAUAAUGGUUUGAAUAAAUUUAUCUCAAUGACAAUCAUGUUUGUAUUUCAUAUUAAACUCUGACUUAUUGUUUCUAGUUUGUGCUCCGGAUUACAUAAAAGCUAGUUUCGAGAGUUCAAUAAUUUCUGUGAGUGGUCAAUUCUCCGCCAACUGACUCCUGCAUUCUUAACCUGACCGUUUAUUUACCAUGGUAUUCGGGCGAAUUUUCCCGUUGUAUUCGUGCAGGUGCCUUUUAAAGAGCCAAAUUAUUUGAACUAGCGCAACCAGGAUUUGAACAAUUUGUACCGCUGGUAGUUACAGAUGUACGUUUCCAGAGUUAUGCUCCUCUAGAUGUGAACAUAUCUGAUUUGUUUCAUCAGAUUAUUCUUCAGCUUUUGUGUUCUAUCCUUUAUGCCAUUAUGGAUGAUAGUUACCUAUCUGGUCAACUAACCACCUCAUUUCAUCUAAUGCAGACUCUCCAUUACUUAACCAGCGAUGUGCUCUAAAAGACGAAAAUGAACGGAGAAGUUCCAAGUGUGCCAAUUAUCACAUUGGCCAGUAUCACCAGCCUCUCCGAUGGUAAGUUGAAUAUAGUCUUAGGCCCUGUCCACUCGAGCGUGGUUUGAGGAACUUAUUCAACGAACUGCUCAGUUCCCAGAACUUGUUCCUUAAAACGAGGCAUGCUGUCCACACGAGUUUGCCCGAACUGGAACCGGAACUUCAAUAAAACUAUAAAAUUAUUGCAAAAUAAUAGAUUAUUACGGCCGCCAAAGUAACAAAAAUAAAUUUCAAGACAUGUAAAGGAC
rnacentral:lncRNA from 1 species